ensembl:lncRNA
CCACAGAGCAGGGGCCCUUCCUGCACCAGAUCAGGGCUUUAUAAACCAGCUGCCCUCCCUCCCUGAUGGCUGUAUGGGAGGCUGUGUUGGGACUGUCCCAGAUGGCAGAAACAGGCAGGUACUCAUGGGAAAUGACACAGUGUGCAUGAUGGGAAUCGUGGAUCGCAGCCGAGGACCAGGAGAGGACGACGUCGCUCCUCGCCGCGUGCGCCCUGCUUGCACCACACCUGCACUUCCCCUCUGUGUGAUAGCGCUGUCCCCCAAAAGGGGCUGCAAAGCUUCCUUGGGCGGCCUGUUCCAGCACGUCACCGCUCUUUUGGAGAAGAAAUGUUUCCUAAUAUCCAUCCUGAACCUCCCCUGGCAUGGCUUGAGGCCGUUCCCUCUCAUCUUCUCGCAGCUGCCCAGGAGAAGAGGCCGACCCCCACCUCGCUACAACCUCCCAGCUGUUGUGUCCACAGUGAGUCCACGGCAGCAGCUCGGGGUGGUGGAAGGCGGCUAUUUGUUUUGGAAGACACACAGUGGUACACAUAUAAAUGCAGGAAAAAGAAGAAUUUAUACAGAGUGGUACCACCAGUGCUCUUUUGGCCUGUGAUGGAUCAGAAAAUGGACUUGGCUGUCUCUGUGUGCACUAGAAGUACAACAUAUCGGUGAAGAAGGCAUCUUUGCCCAGCUUGACGACCUGGUGUUGCUUUGCUCUUUGGGAGAUGUAGGAUGUCCCCUGAACAGCCGCACAGGGCUUGUCCCAGCACCCCACAAGCAAUCCUGCUCAUCUCAACACUCGCCAAGGUCAAACUCAGAUGCACUGCCAGCUCCCUUAAUCCAAGGUAGGACAUGGACAGCAUGAAUGAAGAGAGGAGGAGGCUGACAGCAAGAGAUUUGCCACCUCAGGCAGGUGAUGUUUCCCACUGAGACCUCCAGUGCUUCCUGGGAGAGGAGAAAAGUGGCACAGACCUGGUGAGGUCCCACCUAAAACAUCACUUGGCCCAAAGGUGGCAUCAAAUCAACCCAUCUCCUGCCUGACACGUGUGUAUUGGUCUAAACAGUUCAAGGAGAUCUCUAACGGGAGGAAUUCUGCAGCUUCCUCACAAUCUGCAGCCUUAUUGUUGGCAAGGUACUCAGGUCUCAGCUGGCUCCAUACUUCCUACAUAGUGACUGUCUUGUGUGAAAAGGGAAGGCGCUGGAAGCCCCAUCACCUUGUGCUAAAAUGUGGAUCUAGAGGCAGGCCAUGGAUGGAUGUGAGCCAGGGUGAAGCAGAGCUCCAAAGGAGUGUGAUACAGAGAUGGAUUACGCAGUCUCAAGCAGGCUCUGCUCUUCUCAUUAAAUGGCUGUGAAGCCCAUGCUCUUAAACCACCAGGGAGCAGGAGGACAUCACAUGGUUGCCCAUGAGUGCCCAAGCUGCUUCCCAUGGCUAUGCAGUGUUGGCAAGGAUUUUGGUGUCAGCUCUCCAAGGAGAUCCACAGCAAACUCCUGACCUGGAGCCUCUCAGCAGAUUUCCCAAUGAGUACAGGAGAUACUGGGUGAGGCCCUGCCAAAGCAAAGUGACUGACAAAGUGACCUAGCUGAUGUGGCUUGUGGUCACGAGCAACAAAUUCAGCAGUGAUAUUCCUGGGUAUGGAGCUCAGGUAUUGCAUCUGUACCAAGGAGGCACAAGGGGCCGUUGAGCUGUAGCUCUCUAACUCCUCUGCAAGGCUCAGGAGAUGUGGGAUGCUUUGCUGUUGGCUUGAUAGGAGGAAAUGCUGCUUUCCUGUGAGUGAGUGAAGUUAACCCAAGACAUAGUUUUCAGCACAGAAACACCUUUCCAGCUCUGUUUCAUGGAGAAGAGACCCAACAGCUCCCUGCGAGCUGACCUGAAGCUGCAGGAAUAUUCUGAGGUGGAGUCACGACUAUUAAAGCAAAAAUAAGAUGAUGCAAGGACACAGCUCACUUGGUGUCAGCCUUUCCUGCGGAAACACAAAGAGGGUUUGUUGAUGCCACGUGUAGGCUGCCUCAGGUCGAGUCAUAUUUCUUUCUUUAUGGAGAUGAAGUUAGUCUUUAAGGCACCAGCUCAAAAUGGCCUUUCUUUCAUUACAAAGUUAUUUAGUUACGGGUAGGUAACUCUAAAUGACAUUUCUACAUCUUGCACUUUAUUAGUUGAUCCUAGCUGCUAAAUUACACAGAGUGAGCAGCAGAGUACAGCGGGGGAGUUGAGUGUGUUUUGGCUAAUUUUGGAUGGGGUCCAACCUUCUGGAGUUGGAAAUUUGCCUCCGAGAUGAUGAGCUUGUGCACCUCCCUCGGGGAGGGUUGUGAAGUCAGAAAGCAAAAAGGACUGGUGAAGAAUUAAAAACAAAAGUGUAAACACUGGGCUAUUUCCCUGCUCCCCGGAGAGCUCUGUGAGCACUGAGCUGUGUACUGUUCAGGAGAGGAAAAGCCAGCUCAGCGUCACUGACUUACUCAGAGGGUGAUGAGGCAGUGGUGCCAGCUACCCAGAAAGCUGUGAGUGCCCCCUCCCUGGAGGUGCUCAAGGCCAGGUGGGGUGAGCCCCUGGGCAGCCUGAGCUGGUGGGUGGCAACCAGCCUACAGCAGGGGGUUGGGACCAGGUGGGCUUUAAGGUCCUCUCCAACCUAAGCCUUUCCAUGAUUCCAUGACUUGAGCUAGUGCUGGAGAUGAUGCUGGCAAGGGAACAGAUGACCACAAAGCCACCCACCCUUCCCACCUUACUUUGCUUUAAUCUGUGGAGAAGAUGCACUCUAACCUGCAGCAUGAAGAUUUUUUUUUCCCCAGCUCCAAAUCUACUAAUUUGGAGGAAAGCCUGAGUCCUCCUGAAGCUGGCAGGACUCCUUGUCAACAUGCACAAAACCCCAGAGCAGAUGGGCACAGAUUUUGGCUAAGCACAGCAGCAGUUGUUGAGUAUUACAGUCUGUCAUCUCAUCCAGGAGCAUCCCAGCAGCUGCCUUUGCUUCUCCCUUUACUGAGAGGUGUCAGUGUGCCUCUCCUUGCACCCAGCAUCGCACUGCUGCCACUGAAGUUUCGAUUUCUAUGGCCAAGAAUGUUUUCUAUUGCAAUCUCAGCUCUUGCUUUUAAAAGCCAUACAGAGAAAUGACAUACAUUCAAGUGUAGACAUGUUUCUUCAACAGCUCAUGCUUGCCCUUCCAUAACUUUCAUGUCCUAAGGAUCAUGGAAAACCUGGUAGUACAUUACUUUCAGUAGGCUGCCAGAAAGAGAGUUCAUUUAGUUUGAUGACAGAUUAAUACUGAUUCACAAAUUAAUUUUGUCUCUUUGUAUAUCAAGGGUGUCCACAACUUAUUUAAUUUGUAAUAAAUAUAAUUAUAGAAAUGAAUGAGCUAUCAAGAUUUUUAAAGUAUGAUCCAUCAAUGUUGGCAUGACUUGUAAUCCUGGUCAUUAUAAAUAAAAUGGGCCUUUUUCAAGAUGGAAUGC